CCUACGGGUGGCAGCAGUGGGGAAUAUUGGACAAUGGGCGAAAGCCUGAUCCAGCCAUGCCGCGUGUGUGAAGAAGGCCUUCGGGUUGUAAAGCACUUUCAGUGGGGAAGAAAGCCUUGGGGCUAAUACCCUCGAGGAAGGACAUCACCCACAGAAGAAGCACCGGCUAACUCCGUGCCAGCAGCCGCGGUAAUACGGAGGGUGCGAGCGUUAAUCGGAAUUACUGGGCGUAAAGCGCGCGUAGGCGGUCUGAUAAGCCGGUUGUGAAAGCCCCGGGCUCAACCUGGGAACGGCAUCCGGAACUGUCAGGCUAGAGUGCAGGAGAGGAAGGUAGAAUUCCCGGUGUAGCGGUGAAAUGCGUAGAGAUCGGGAGGAAUACCAGUGGCGAAGGCGGCCUUCUGGACUGACACUGACGCUGAGGUGCGAAAGAGUGGGUAGCAAACAGGAUUAGAUACCCGAGUAGUC
rnacentral:rRNA from 1 species